rnacentral:rRNA from 1 species
AAGUCUGACGGAGCAACGGCGCGUGAGCGAAGAAGGCCUUCGGGUCGUAAUGCUCUGUUGUUAGGGAAGAACAAGUAACGCAGUAACUGGCGUUACCGUGACGGUACCUAACGAGAAAGCCACGGCUAACUACGUGCCAGCAGCGGCGGUAAUACGUAGUGGCAAGCGUUGUC